rnacentral:lncRNA from 9 species
AGCAAUACUUCAAUUUUUUAAGAAGAAUCCCAUUUUUUACACUGUGCCCAUGGCUUCCCAGCAACAAGCUUAUAUCUCUGAGCCUGGAGCUGGGUGUGACCCUGUGACUCAACUCUGGCUAAUGAGACAUAAGUGGAAAUGUCGGGUGAUGUAUCUUGAAAGUAUUCUUAAAAGGGAGGGGGCACACCUGCCUCUGCCCUUCCCUUCCCCUGUCUUCCUGAACCAGGAUGUGAUGGCUGGGGCUGCAGCAGCCCCUCUGACCAUGAGUACGAGGACACAGUCAUGGGAAGCAGGAUCCCCACAUCUGUGUGGAGCUCCCAGCCCAUCCGUGAAUUACCUUCUUCCCAACUGAUUCUCUUCUAAGAGAGAAAUCAGCUUCUACUGUGUGUUACCACCAUUCCCUUACUUACAGGCAGGCAAACUUACUCCCCACCAGGACUCUCCAGAGCAGCAGGCACUCAGAUCUGACUCUGUCUCUCGUGGGUAAUUUUCCGGGUUCUCCAAGGACUCCUCUCAAACCCUGCUGGUUUGGGGGAUGCCCAGCCCCUAAAACUCACUCCCCAAGCUCACUCACUCUGCUGGUUGUACCUCUUGGGCAGGGGUCAAGUUUCAGGCCGGUUCUCCCUCCCCGCAGAGGCCACAGCUGGUCCAGGGGAAGCAGGCACAAUCACCCCAACCAACGUGCAGUGGAGAACCCUGUCCCAGCUGCUCUCCACUCCCCACACCCCCAAAGCAUCUCGCCAGAGUCAGAACCGGCCCACAAUGCGCCCAGCUGAGGGGACACAGGGCUCAGAGCAAGGAGACAGCACCCCCACCCACGCUGCCUUCAGGAGCCAGGCGGAUAGUACGGACUCACAGCAGAGGCGUCUCAAAAUAGACUCAUGCUUCCCAAACCCUCAGAACAAGGAGCAUUUUUCCAGAGCUGUGAGCCUGGUGUUCAGAUACUGCCUUUGAAAAUACCCAUUUUGGGAGUUGCCGGCAUGGCUCAGUGAGGUUAACGAAACCAACUAGUAACCAUGAGGUUUCGGGUUCGAUCCCUGGUCUCGCUCAAUGGGUUAUGAUCCAGCACUGUGGUGAGCUGUGGUGUAGGUUGCAGACGAGGCUCGGAUCCCGAGUUGCUGUGGCUCUGACGUAGGCCGGUGGCUACAGCUCCGAUUGGACCCCUAGCCUGGGAACCUCCAUGUGCCGCAAGUGCGGCCCUAGAAAAUCCAAAAAAAACCAAAAAAAAAUACGUUUAAUCAGAGAAGUAAGAAAACGCAGAAGCAAAGGAAAACAGUCAAACACGAGCAAAUAAUAAGAGUUGAGUCAUUAAGCAAAGUCAAGGGCUUUUAGUUCCUCUUCAAGGGCUGUAGAUGAUAUUCGGAGCCUUGUCCUGUGAACUGUCUUGUAGACACUGAGAACCCCACCAGGUGGAAGACGUUAACCAAACGAUGACCAGACUGUAGCCUGGACAUAAGAUGCCAGAAUUCAGAGAACUGGCCUCAAAGAUAUGGGAACGAACUGACCCUGGAACUGAUGGUUAACUGUACUUCAAACAGUUAAAAUGAUGUUGAUCAGACAACACAUGACCCAUUUGGAGAUGACUGUCAGCGCUGACUGUGCUGUUCUGCAGGCUAGCCCCCCUCUCUCCACCUUGCCCACUGGUUGUCAGUGGGGGGAGUCAGCCUCUUGGACAGAAGUCUGCCUGUCCUCCCCCCAGCUGCUAGCAUCCAAAAUAAAGCCAACUCUCUUUUCCACCAACCUUGCCUCUUUAUUGAAUUUAGACCAACAAGCAGACCCCACUUUCAGUAACACUAGUCAUUUUCCAAUUAGCAGAUACAAAAUAUAAGUUCUUAGGUAACCCUGGACAGGUUCAGACUACCCCCACUCUGCCUUGAGUUGGCUAGAAGGCAGCAAGCUUCCCUUCCAAGCCUUUCUCAUCUACCCGAGCCCAGGUCCUCUACAUCUGCAAAGGGCGGGCAAACAGGAACAGGCCGACUGCCACCAGCAGGCCUGGAGACAAAAGCUAUGGUGCGGGACCUCUGCUGAGACCACAUGGCCUUGCCGGGCGACCUACCUCCCUGAGCCUUGGCUUCCCCACUCAGGAAGCAGAGAAAUUAGAACCGAUGAUCUGGUGCUCCCUUGUGGUCUUUGAUCUUUCUAUCCACAUUUGAACUCAGAGCCAAAUCUCAUUGGAGUUAUCACAUUCAAAAACAACUCAAAAUGAACCACCACUAUAAGAUCAGGCUGCUUCCUUUCUUUGUUUUCUUUUCAGGGCCAUACCCAAGGUUUAUGGAAAUUUCCAAGCUAGGGGUUGAAUCCGAGCUACAGCUGCCAGCCUAUGCCACAGGCACUGCAACACCAGAUUCGAGCCAAGACUAUGACCUACACCGCAGCUCAUGGCAAUGCUGGAUCCUUAACCCACUGAGCGAGGCCAGGGAUCGAACCCACAUCCUCAUGGAUACUCGUUGGAUUUGUUUCUGCUGUGACACAGUGGGAACUCCCCAGGCUGCUGUCUUUCCUUAAUGCCUAGAAAGUGAACAACGCCAACAUUAUUUGCAAUUGUGAAAGGAUUAAGGUGCUUUUGAAACCCCAAUAUGAGCUGCUGAGACCACGGAGAGGAAAAAAACCCAUCAGCCUGAUAACCACCAUCACACAAAACAUGGUUUCAAAGCAUCUCUCCUUGGAAACAAUAAGCAAUAAACUGGACCUAGUCCUAACCUGGUCCGUGCCCAUCAGCCUCAGAUUACAUGUGUGUACAUGUGUGUGCCUGUGUGUGUGUGUGCAUGCUCACAGCAGACUGCAGUUUUUUUCAGAAACAUCAAUAAUGAGGAAGUUCCAUGCACAUUUCCAAAAAAAAGACAACAUGCUUUACAGUGAUUGUCUCAAGAAGAUGAAAUAGCUUAUGAAAGAUGCUAGAGUGAUUCACAGUCUAACUUUGGGCCUUAUAAAAUGCUUGCUACUAAAUCCAUGAUGCAAGUUCUUUUUUCAAUUAGACUGCACAAAAGCAAUAAGUUUAAAAAGUAAGUCACAGACCACUUUCAGGUAAUACUGGUUUGACACCUAAAAUUAUUCUUUUUAUCAGCAGUAGGUAUAAAAUAUGACGACUUCUGUGUUUGUGUUCUCUUCUCCCAACCAUCAGUGUAACUUGUGUUUUUCUCUUUGGCCACACCUGCAGCUUAUGGAAGUUCCCAAGCCAGGGAUCAAAUCCAAACUCCAGCUACAACCCUAUACCACAGCUGCAGUAACACCAGAUCCUUAACCCACUGAGCCAGGCCAGGGAUCGAACCUGCACCUCAGCAGCGACCCAAGCUGCUAUAGUGACAACACCAGAUCCUUAACCUGCCGUCCGACAACAGGAACUCCUAUAGCUUUUAUUCUUAUCUUUAAAGCCAUUUUAAGAUUCUUUAAUUUAGAUAUUAGUUUCUGUUCAGAUGACCAUCGUUAAAAAGUCUAUAAAUAACAAGUGCUGGAGGGGUGUGGAGAAAAGGGAACCCUCCUACACUGUUGCUGGGAACGUAAACUGGUGUAACCACUAUGGAAAACAGUAUGGAGGUUCCUCAAAAAAACUAAAAAAAAAGAGCUACUAUAUGAUCCUACAAUCCUACUCCUGGGCAUAUAUCUGGAAAAAACUAUAAUUCAAAUGAUACAUGCAUUCCAAUGUUCAUAACAACACUAUCCACAAUAGCCAUGACAUGGAAACAACCUAAUUGUUCACUGACAGAUGAAUGGAUUAAGAGGAUGUGGUACAUAUACACAAUGGAAUACUACUCAUCCAUAAAAAAGAAUAAAGUCCUGCCAUUUGCAGCAAUAGGGAUGAAACUAGAGUGGAGUUAAGUCAGACAAAGACGAAUAUCAUAUGCUAUCACCUAUAUGAAGAAUCUAAACUGUGGCACAAAUGUACCUAUCUAUAGAACAGAAACAGACUCAAAGACGUGGAGAACAGACUUGUGGUUAUCAAGGGGGAGGAGGGAGGGAGUGGGAUGGACUGGGAGUCUGGGAUUAAUAUAUGCACACUAUUUCAUUUAGAAUGGUUAGACAAUAAGGUCCUACUGUAUAGCAAAGGGAAUUACAUCCAAUCUCCUGGGAGAGGCCUUGAUGGAAGAUAAUAUAAAAAAGAAUGUAGAUAGAUAGAUAGAUAGAUAGAUAGAUAAUAGAUAGGUAAGACGGAGUCUCUUUGCUGUGAACAGAAAUCGACACAACAGUUAAUCAACUGUUUCCAUUAAAAAUUAGUUAAAAUUUAAAAAAAGAAAUAUUUGCUCAGAAGCCCGAUUUGUGAACAAUGCAAACUAGAGAUAACAAAUUUCUCCAUUCAUCUGUUAAAGGUCUCAAAAUCUCUGUGGCCUGACGUCCUUAAUGGCCCAACAGUGCAGAAGCCUUCAUCACACUUUCAGGCACUACAUUUGGUACCUGGGUAGGCCACUCUGAUAGGCAAGGAGGGGAAAAAAAAAAAAA